rnacentral:ncRNA from 1 species
CACACUCUUGCUGGCCGAAGCUUCACGCUGCGCGUGAGGUACUUAGUAGGCUGGCCGGAGUGUU